GGCGAUUGUAGCCUAACGGUUAUGGUAUUGGUUUGUGAAUCCAACAUUUGCGGGUUCAAAUCCCGUCAUUCGCC
rnacentral:tRNA from 1 species